rnacentral:rRNA from 1 species
UCUUCCCUCUGGCGGCGUGCCUAAUACAUGCAAGUCGAGCGAACAGAUGAGGAGCUUGCUCCUCUGACGUUAGCGGCGGACGGGUGAGUAACACGUGGAUAACCUACCUAUAAGACUGGGAUAACUUCGGGAAACCGGAGCUAAUACCGGAUAAUAUAUUGAACCGCAUGGUUCAAUAGUGAAAGACGGUUUUGCUGUCACUUAUAGAUGGAUCCGCGCCGCAUUAGCUAGUUGGUAAGGUAACGGCUUACCAAGGCAACGAUGCGUAGCCGACCUGAGAGGGUGACCGGCCACACUGGAACUGAGACACGGUCCAGACUCCUACGGGAGGCAGCAGUAGGGAAUCUUCCGCAAUGGGCGAAAGCCUGACGGAGCAACGCCGCGUGAGUGAUGAAGGUCUUCGGAUCGUAAAACUCUGUUAUUAGGGAAGAACAAAUGUGUAAGUAACUAUGCACGUCUUGACGGUACCUAAUCAGAAAGCCACGGCUAACUACGUG